ACUUCCUCUAUUUCAAGAUCAAAAGUCCUGAAGGUUUAUGUCUUUGAGCCCCACAUAUCCUUGCAUUUUUCUGUUCAGUUUUUUGAUCUACAGAGAUGUCAUAAACAUCACUGCAAGUUUAUAUUAAAAA
ensembl:misc_RNA